UUAACUCUGGGAUAAGCCUGGGAAACUGGGUCUAAUACCGGAUAUGACUCCUCAUCGCAUGGUGGGGGGUGGAAAGCUUUAUUGUGGUUUUGGAUGGACUCGCGGCCUAUCAGCUUGUUGGUGAGGUAAUGGCUCACCAAGGCGACGACGGGUAGCCGGCCUGAGAGGGUGACCGGCCACACUGGGACUGAGACACGGCCCAGACUCCUACGGGAGGCAGCAGUGGGGAAUAUUGCACAAUGGGCGAAAGCCUGAUGCAGCGACGCCGCGUGAGGGAUGACGGCCUUCGGGUUGUAAACCUCUUUCAGUAGGGAAGAAGCGAAAGUGACGGUACCUGCAGAAGAAGCGCCGGCUAACUACGUGCCAGCAGCCCCGGUAAUACGUAGGGCGCAAGCGUUAUCCGGAAUUAUUGGGCGUAAAGAGCUCGUAAGCGGUUUGUCGCGUCUGCCGUGAAAGUCCGGGGCUCAACUCCGGAUC
rnacentral:rRNA from 1 species